AUUUGCCAAAUAAAUUCAUAAUCCAAUUCAUUUCUUGAUAAAAUUUUAUUAAGGAGAAAUGACAUUGGAAAUAAAACGCCAAAUGAUAUUUUUCUAUGGGAAAUGUGCAUAAGAAAUGUGCACGUGAAAUAUAUGUGCUAAUUUCAAGCAAAAAGUAAGUUAUUACUGUAGUGGCGUAGUUGGUAAAGGCGUCGUCGUCGAAAUGUGUAUUUUUGCACACUUCUUUUAUAUGACAUUUUGGGCAAGGUCGAAUAUUGAUGAAAAGGAAAUUGGAUACAAUAAUAAUAAUAUAUUUUGCUUAUAAAAACAGGAGGAAAAAUACGUAUAGUAUAAAUUAGAAAGGAUGAUAAUAACAAUAAAAAUAAUAGCAAUCCUCCAACAGGAAGACUAAUAUGUUCAUAAAAAGUGUUCACAACAAAAUACCAAAAGUGAAAACGGCCAAGAAUAGAAAAAUCCAAAAUUGAAGAUUCUAUUGCUUAUCCGUUUACAUAUGAUCUUUGCUUAAACAUAGGCAUGCAAAACCUCACACAAGUGUUUCUACUAUACACGAAUACUCUCAUCCACAGGUCUAUUCAAAUUAUGGGAUACAAGGCCAGGGCUUUGCUCAGGCUACUGUAGGAGUCACAGGUGGCGGAUUGUGAUCGGCGUGAAUGUACCCAAGGGUAUAUCUGUAGGCUAGCUGAGAAUAACUAAUAAGCAGUCCCGGACCAAGAGAGGCAGAGGAGGAGGGGUGGCUGAAAAGGCCGCAUAACCCUGCGAAUCUUCGGUGGCAGGAGGUAUAAGCGCCGUUUUUUAAAUAGAUGCUCCCCAUUUUUAGUAUGGGGGUGGCAUCAAGGGAGACAGUUCGACGAAUAUGGAUAGGCCGAGCCCAGAUCUUGAUUACGGUAUUCCGGAACACCUACUUGAAUUGAGGAUUUCUAGUUGAUGGUGGCAGUAUUCCGUUACCUAAGUAAGUUGGAGUGACAUCCAGCUGAAAUGGCUUUUGGGUUAAUGCUGACACCGCCCCCUGCCCGUUAAAAUUAUGGCAAGUCUGGGAAGUACGUACUUGGCUGCAUCGUUAAGUUGGCGCGUGUAGGUCCACUUAAGUAGAACUCCUGGCUAAUGCUGCACCUGGCACUGAACGCUAGUCUCAUAAACGCUAGCGUGAACCCACCGCAUGGCCACAGUGCUUGCAAAAAUAACCAUGGGAUCCUAACAGCAACUGCACCAGCGGAACCGAAUAGCGGCUUCUCUGUAUGGGCCCAAUUACAAUGAUUUCUAACAAACAAAAUAAUACACCAAUAGGUACUAUCGGUCACGCUGACGCUUUGAGCGAAGAGAACUCUUUCAAAGUGAGCGGAAGAAUAAUGAAGUCGCCAGAAGGCGUGCAAACGCACCUUCAUCUCGGACGAACGCUCCCCGAGAAGUCAAGCCACACACCAGUAAAUGUGGAGAACCUGGUAACCUUCGUAAAGCUGGGCGGCUAUAUAAAAGAUUCGGUGGUGACACUGCAGGAUAAUGAUGGAAAAAGGCGGUACAUAAACCAACAAAUGCGCGAUGCAAUAGGCGAAGCGAUUGGGGCUCGCAAAGCUUACCGCUACAGAAAGCAAGCGGGACGAAGCGAUCACAGCCUGAGGCGCAUAAACCUAAGCAGCCCGGGGACGGGGACACACCGACCGCCAAACGUCGCAGAGUAGCCACCUUACCAGGGGAAAGCGGAAGAGCUCCGAGUGGCAGUUGGCUCCUUUUUAGAAGGGGAGGCAGAAGUCAGGUGUUUGAAGCAACGCAAAAUAGUCGAGUGCAAAGAUAUCGCCGAAGUCACCACCAGAGAGGAUGCACUUAAGUUCCAAUACGCGGUGACAACUGCAGAAGUGUUAAAUUUAAGGAAGUCAUACAGUGGAACUGCACAAAGGAGCCUUCUUGCCUGUUCUGCCGGGAGACGCCGAAUGUGGACGCAAAGCACGUGUCGGAAAGAGGCAAAUGUCCGUUGCUCAAACGGGUGCUGGCCAUUAGAGAGCGGAAAUGAGAAUAAUACAGAUUAAUUGUGACUUCAAGAGAUGAAGCUAGAGCUAGCAGAGCAUAAAGCUGGGGCGGUGUUAAUAAGCAGCUGGAAGCGCGUGAAAAGAUGCUGUAUACGAGUGGGUCACCGCACGGUCCAAUCAUCUCCUGCCCUGAAACACCUUCUAGUUAUGCUCGACCAUCGGCUCAACUUUAAGCACCCCGUUGAGUACGCGGCUGAAAAAGCGACCGACACUCAGGGGUCGUUAAGAAGGAUUAUGCGAAAUAUUGGCGGCCCGAAAUUCACCAAUCGAAAGAUGCUGCCCUUGCGAUUGCUAGAGCCAUGCCAGUCGACAUUUUGGGGGGCGAAAUGAAGCGCAUCCACGAAAGGAGCCGCAUCAACGCCCCCUGCCAUCAAAAAAGAAGAGCGGCUAGCGUCGAUGAGAACUUGGCAAUCGCCUUGGGAAAGAACAACAAAGGAAGACGGACGUUCCUUCUUAGCGUAUUCCACAGAAGUUCCACCAUCGGAAGCCUGCUAACGACAACCGGCCUCCGCGAAGUAAUAUCUAAGGGUGGUCCCGCGGGGGAGAGUGGUGGAAGAAGCGUGUGGAGUGGUGGUUUUUUCGUACGUAGGCGCCAUGGAUGGUGAUUCGUGCAUGCUACCAUUAAGAAUCUUUUGAAGAUUUUCUACCUCCUGCUCGCAGAGCAAAAAAAAAUUAUGGGAUACACAUUUUUUCAGUGCGUACACACACAGUGCACAAAUUCAGAUGGAAUUUGAUUAAAACACACGUGAAGACCUAAAAGGACCCACCAUUGACAUAUAACAAGAACUUGAAUUUCACAAUGAUCGGAUGCUCAACAUUCAAAAAAGCUUCAUUGGCAGCAAACUCAUAUAUCAAAGUACACCUAAAAAGAAACUAGUCUCGUUCGACUCCCCUAGCGAUGAUUCUGAUUAGAAUGGAAAUCAUGGAGAAUGAGGAGGAGUUUUUUGCAGUAAACCAUGUAUACGAAAAAAACGCACAAUCAUAGUAAAUUCUUCAAAAUUGAUAAAGAGAACAGAUGUCAAAACAAUGCUAUUCCACAUUUUGAAUAACUCGGCAAAAUUAACAAAGUUUGGCCAAACUCUUUGAAGAUUCCAUCGUAUAGCGCCGCGCUUGCCCUGUUAUAAUGCCAAUUGUGUAGCCCCCGAAACAACUUCUCUAAAUAUCUAAACUCUAAACGUUAAAUAUAAAGAUAAAAGAUUAAAAUUAUACAUAAUUAGCUUAAUUAUAUUAAUUUAAAACUUU